AUUUAUAUAGUUUAUAUUUUAAAACAUUACAUUUUCAAUGUAAAAAUAAAAUAAUUAUUUUUAUAAAUA
rnacentral:tRNA from 1 species